rnacentral:lncRNA from 14 species
UUUCUGCUUUAACUUCCCUUCUUCAGCUGCUCUUUUCAGAGAUCUCUCCCUGCCACAUCACAACAAGACUCUUCUCCCACAGUUCAUCCCCACCAGCCUCAUGGGCUGCCAACCAUCACUCCUCAGAUUUUCUAUUGUCUCUCCCACCAGUGUCUCCCAGAUCUCCUCAGAUCUUCUCCUAACAGCCAGGCUCUGUAUGUGCCCAACAUCUCCUGGACUUUCCAGGCCUCCAUGGGGAACCAGGAGGAGAGAGCACAGGGAAGAGCAUGAGCAGUGCGUUGGAAACAGAUUGUGAGAAACACUCACACUCUUCAGUGCUGGGAAGUGACUCUGCUCCACCACACCAUCACUCAUUCUGUUACUGGGACCCCACUGUCAUCCACAGUGGAUUGCUGGACGUGAAUCAUGGAGUGAAUAUGCAACCCUCUGUACCGGGAGCACAUGGGAAGCGGUCAGGGAGCACAGGCCAUGCCUCAGGCAGCAGUGGACCUGCCUGUUCUCCUGUGGUUUGCUCGGAGCCAGCUCCUCACAAGAUGUGAUUUCACUGUGACACCAUGCUCUGGACAAGCUCUGGUGACCUUGCACAUUAUCUGUCAAGCACCAACCCACCCAGAGUUUUCUAAGGAGCUGCACAUCAGGAAUCAUCAAUGAUCAAUUUCUUGCCAAAUUAUGCAGCAGAUUGAAGGCAUUGCUUGUAGGAGCACAGGAGGGACAAGGAACCUGCUCAGCCACAGCAGAGAAGCCCUGUGGAGUCAGGAACUUGAAUGCCCUUCUCUAACCAGCCCAAAGCCUUGUGUAUUCCUGGAGCAGCAGCAUGGGUUGGGAGACUUCACUUGAAUGCUUUAAUGGAAAGCAGUAUUUUUCAUGGUGCUGUGCCACUAGUGCCUUGUUAGUGGGAACAGCCAGCCCCAGCUCACAGACACAGGUAUCCCGAUGCUACUGACAGUCUUGUCCUAAACUCUUCCAUGUCCCACACAGAAAACAAAGCUAAAAGACUGAUUUUUUUGCCCUCAGUUUGGCAACUUCGGUUUUUCCCCAAGUUUGGAGAAAUCGCCAUAUCUGACACCUGCACAGCCGAGAGAGAAUGUGCUCUCAAUGACAACCAGUCAUGAUGUUAACCAACAUCAUAUCAUAUUAUGCUCCAUCCCUGGCGGUGUUCAAGACCAGGUUGGAUGAAGCCUUGGGUGAUAUGGUUUAGUGUGAGGUUUCCCUGCCCAUGGCAGGGGGGUUGGAACUAGAUGAUCUUGACUUCCUUUCCAAUCCUAACUAUUCUAUGAUUCUAUGAGUAUUAUAUAGACACUGUGGGCCAGAUACCUUGGCUGCUCUGAGACAGACAAGGAAGACAUCCAGCUGAGGCCUUUGCGCAAAGGGAAUUUGCCUCCACAGCAAUGAUAAUUGCUCUUCGAUGGACUUAUGUAAUUAUGAGACUUUUGAAUCUGGUCUUGUUUACACCCAGUGCAAAUCAGGAAGAAAAAUAUUCAUCACAUGUGGCAGUGUGUAUUGAAUCACUUAUAAUCCUGGACGAGCUAUUUCCUUGCUUUAUUUUUGUUUUCUUUUCUUAAAUAAACCUGCCAUAAGAAUGAAAGAAAGGAAAACA